CCCUUAGAUGUUCGGAGCUGCACGCGCGCUACACUGAAGGAAGCAGCGUGUUAGAGCGCCUGGCUUGAAAGAGCUGGGUAAUCCGGUGAAUGUCCUUCGUGAUUGGGAUAGGGACUUGUAAUUAUUUCUCUUGAACGAGGAAUUCCUAGUAAACGCAGAUCAUCAAUCUGCAUUGAUUACGUCCCUGCCCUUUGUACACACCGCCCGUCGCACCUACCGAUUGGAUGUUCCGGUGAAGCCUCGGGAUGAGGACUGGUGCCUUUAUUGGCAUGAGUUGUUCAGAACUUGUCUAAACCUUAUCAUCUAGAGGAAGGUGAAGUCGUAACA
rnacentral:rRNA from 1 species